UCGCGGCUUAUCACCGGCAGUCUCCCUAGAGUGCCCGGCAUAACCCGCUGGUAACUAGGGACAAGGGUUGCGCUCGUUGCGGGACUUAACCCAACAUCUCACGACACGAGCUGACGACAGCCAUGCAGCACCUGUGCACGGACUCCGAAGAGGGGCCGAUGUUUCCACCGGCUUUCCCGUGCAUGUCAAGCCCAGGUAAGGUUCUUCGCGUUGCUUCGAAUUGAACCACAUGCUCCACCGCUUGUGCGGGCCCCCGUCAAUCCCUUUGAGUUUCAGCCUUGCGGCCGUACUCCCCAGGCGGGGUACUUAUCACUUUCGCUUAGCCACUCAGAUUGCUCCGAACAGCUAGUAUCCAUCGUUUACGGCGUGGACUAC
rnacentral:misc_RNA from 1 species